AUUGAACGCUGGCGGCAGGCCUAACACAUGCAAGUCGAGCGAGCGGCGGACGGGUGAGUAAUGUAUGGGGACUGCCCGGUAGAGGGGGAUAACUACUGGAAACGGUGGCUAAUACCGCAUACUAUCGGAUAACCCAUAUGGGAUUAGCUAGUAGGUGGGGUAAAGGCUCACCAAGGCGACGAUCUGUAGCUGGUUUGAGAGGAUGAUCAGCAACACUGGGACUGAGCCACGGCCCAGACUCCUACGGAGGCAGCAGUGGGGAAUAUUGGACAAUGGGGGAAACCCUGAUGCAGCCAUCCCGCGUGUAUGAAGAAGGCCUUCGGGUUGUAAAGUACUUUCGGCGGGGAAGCGGUAUCUGCAGAAUAAGCACCGGCUAACUACGUGCCAGCAGCCGCGGUAAUAC
rnacentral:rRNA from 1 species